AUGUGAGCAGAGCAGGAUGAGGGGCAGAGGGGGAGGGAGAGGGAUAAGCGGACUCUGCGCUGACCGUGGAGCUCAGUUGGGGCUUGACAUGGGGCUCUAUCCCACAACCCUGAGACCAAAACCUGAGCUGAAAGCAAGAGUCUGAUGCUCAACCAACUGAGCCACCCAGGCGCCCUGUAGGGUAUUUUUUAUGGCAUUUUUUACAGCAGGGGGACGGGGGGUUGGCACCUCUAACCUCUGUAUUGUUCAAGGGUCAGCUGUAGUAGUGAUAGACCCAGUGCAUGACUUCACAAGGCUUAGUGAGGGGAGAGAAUAGAAAACUGAGUACUAUGCUGAAUUUGGCUGGGGUUGGGGGGAGAUCUGGGAAAGCUUUCCUAAAGCAAAGACUUUGAAGCUGAAACCUGAAGAAGAAAUAGAAGACCACCAGUAGAGGUUUAAAUAGAGGCUAAGCCUUGAGGGAGGAGCCAAUGUGUGGCAAUCCCAGAGCUGAAAGACCAGAACGGCCAGAAUGAAACCAGCCGGCGGCAGCACACAGGGAAGCCUGAAGAGACCACUGAAGCCUGGUCUCACGGGCCUUGAAUGUUCCUUCCAGUAUUUUUUAUAAAGCGUAAGAAAUGAAGAGUUACCUACAGCAUGUAUCAGCCAACUUCUUCUGUAAAGAGGCCAGAUGAAAUAGAAAAACCCAUCCUAAAAUUCAGAUGGAAUCUCAAGAGAUGCCAAGUAGCCAAAAUACUCUCAUAAAAGAACAAAGCUGGAAGACUACACUUCCAUUUCAAAACUUCCUGCAAAGCUACAGUGAGGAAACUGAGGCUGAGACAGAGACUGAUCCAAGUUCAAGGAGCCAGCACGACUUGAAUCUUGUUCUCUCUGAUUCCAAAUCCAGAAAUCCAGCCUGUUGGUUUGGUCUUGGUGGUGGACAGUGGAUGAAGGGGUGGGGGGGUCUGGGGUGGAGGAGUACGUGAUUCGUAACUGAAUCUAGGUCAACCCAGAUUUUUUUUUUUUUCAUUUUCUUUUUCACCCUCUGGUAGGACUUCCUCCUUAUCUCUCUCUGUCUCUUUUUCUGAUUCACUCCCCAUCUGUUAGUGGUCUCUGGCUUCUGGGAAUGUGAUGCAGAGGGUAGGGUGGUUGUGGGGGUGGGGAGGUAGACACAAAGUGUGGGCAGUCCUUAAUAAACAAAUAUUUUUUGAGAGCUCUGUAGGUACCAGGCUGUUCUGGAGGUUGAAUACGACAGACCUUGUCCCUGCCCUCAAGGGGAUUCCAUUACAGGGUAUAUAUGAGUGUGAGUGGCAGGUGAGGGAUAGAGAGGGGGAUGGAGUGGAAGGGGAAGUAGGGGAGGGGGAGGGAAGUAGAUGCAGACGAGGAAGAAGAUGUGGCCGGUGUCAAUAGGGGCUAUAAAGGAGAUGUGAGAGAGAGUGCCUGGGGAGCAAGGCGACUGGAGACAGUAAGAACAAGACAGGCCUGGCUCAGGAGCUGAGGUGAGACCUGGAGCAUGGAAAGGAGGCAGCUGAAGAUGUGGGAGAAGAACACUACAGG